rnacentral:lncRNA from 1 species
CCGAAUUGGGCUUCCAGCCCCUUAAGUGUGUGACCCUAUGGGUUCGGAUACGUAUAGACAUGGCCCGAGUACUCCUACUCGGCCCAAUAGUCGGUAGCGGCCUCUAGCAAGACGUGCCAACUCCUAUACGCACACGAAGAUUAUAUCAGACGAACCAUCACAACAUAAUAUACAUGCUAUUCCCUUUGCCUCACGAUAUUUGGUCUAGCUUCAAGCCGACCGCUCUUUCUCGAUCCUGUGAUUCGGAAUCCCUUUGUAGGUUAACUCUUAACCGUACGUAGCAUGGCCAUGCAUUUUCGGAUCCGAUCACUCGAGGGGCCCAGAGAUAUCACUCUCAAUCAGAG